GGGGUUGGCCCAUAUACUAAUAUUGGAAAGAAGAAGAAAAAAGAAUCAGCAUGGUCUUUGGGCCAGUAUGACCUGCACAUUAGUGAAGUGUUUAAAAUUUUA
rnacentral:snRNA from 1 species